rnacentral:lncRNA from 1 species
UUGGGACAUUUAAAUCCAAGAAAUCAAGUCUAGUGGUGUCAUUGUCAAGUAUGCUUCACCAUUUUCACAGCACGAAUUCAGUAAUGGAAGGCAUUGCAUGAAAUGAAUCAUCAAUCUCCUUAUGAUCAGAUGCAGUGGAAAGGCAUCAGAUGCAGUGGAAAGGCAUGAUUGAAUUCAGAAUGCUUUAUAAUCAUAGGUUAAAGGCAUGGCAUGAAGAAUUGAUGUAUCCACCAUGACUAUUCUUGUUAUGCAACUUUGGGGCAGAGUGCUAAGUAAGAUAGAGAUGAUCGAGUAAAUGAAUGAAUCU